AACGAACGUUAGCGGCGCGCCUAACACAUGCAAGUCGAGCGAGAAAGGGCUUCGGCCCGGUAAAGCGGCGCACGGGUGCGUAACGCGUGGGAAUCUGCCCUUGGGUUCGGAAUAACAGUUAGAAAUGACUGCUAAUACCGAAUGAUGUCUUCGGACCAAAGAUUUAUCGCCCAAGGAUGAGCCCGCGUCGGAUUAGCUGGUUGGUGAGGUAAAGGCUCACCAAGGCGACGAUCCGUAGCUGGUCUGAGAGGAUGAUCAGCCACACUGGGACUGAGACACGGCCCAGACUCCUACGGGAGGCAGCAGUGGGGAAUAUUGGACAAUGGGCGAAAGCCUGAUCCAGCAAUGCCGCGUGAGUGAUGAAGGCCUUAGGGUUGUAAAGCUCUUUUACCCGGGAUGAUAAUGACAGUACCGGGAGAAUAAGCCCCGGCUAACUCCGUGCCAGCAGCCGCGGUAAU
rnacentral:rRNA from 1 species